AACGAACGCUGGCGGUGUGCCUCAUACAUGCAAGUCGUACGCGAAUCCUGCCGCAAGGCAGGGUUUGAGUGGCAAACGGGUGCGUAACACGUAGGUAAUCUUCCUUUGAGUUGGGGAUAAGCCCUCGAAAGGGGGUCUAAUACCGAAUAACACUUCGGGCCGGCAUCGGCCUGAAAUUAAAGAUGGCCUCUGCUUGCAAGCUAUCGCUCGGAGAUGAGCCUGCGGCCGAUUAGUUAGUUGGCGGGAUAAAAGCCCACCAAGACUUCGAUCGGUAGCCGGUCUGAGAGGAUGUCCGGCCACACUGGGACUGAGAUACGGCCCAGACUCCUACGGGAGCAGCAGUAGGAAUAUUGCGCAAUGGCCGACAAGG
rnacentral:rRNA from 1 species